rnacentral:rRNA from 1 species
UACCCGCAGCACAAGUGGUGGUCAUUAUUAUUGGGCCUAAAGCGUCCGUAGCUGGCUUGUUAGAUGCCUGGGUAAAUCGAAGCGCUCAACGUUUCGAAUUCCGGGUAGACCGGCAAGCUCGAGACCGGGAGAGGUGUAGGGUACUCGGGGGGUAGGGGUAAAAUCCUGUAAUCCUCCGGGGACGACCAGUGGCGAAGGCGCUACACUAGAACGGCUCUGACAGUGAGGGACGAAGCCCUGGGGCGCAAACCGG